CACAGCAACAACUCCACGAAUUCAUCACCUCCAUAUGUUUAGUCCAAGGGCUGGUAUAGGUGAAACUUUGAUUUCGCCCUCAUCAACUUGCACUUAGAAUUUUUCAUUUGUCACUAAUUCAAAGGUGCAAUUUUCAUUCUGUCUCACAUAAUUUAUAUAAAUCAGGCAAAACCCCAACUAGGAAAGAUUCAAACUUUAAGCC
rnacentral:lncRNA from 1 species